rnacentral:misc_RNA from 1 species
AAGUCGUAACAAGGUUUCCGUAGGUGAACCUGCGGAAGGAUCAUUAUCACUAAUUAUCCAAAACCUGGGUAUCCUUCUCUUCACGGAGGAGGAUACUCUAAACCAAACGUGAACUGUAUUGCCUCUGGUUGACGGUUGAUGUAAGAAGAAGUUUUCUUUUUUGAGAAUUUCUUCGUCAAUCCAGAGUGUAUUUUCUUACAUCAAAUUAACCAAUUGAACCGUUUUAAUUUAUAUUGAAUUGUUUGAACUGAAUUUGUUUCUUACCUUUGCUCUUCACGGAGUUUAGGAAGAAAACAUAAUUUACGAAACAAUAUUAAAUAUAACUCUUAGCAACGGAUAUCUUGGUUCUCGUAAAGAUGAAGAACGCAGC